AGUUCCUAUUAAGUACAACAAGGUUAUAUAACAAACUAACUAUGGUAAAUUUUGAUAAGAAUAAGUUCAGUAUUAAUGCUCUCCUAAAGAAUUCUCCUACAGCUUGAUUUAAUGUUGAACUCGUUCACGUGAUCAUAGAAAUAAAAAAGAUAGAACGCGCAUCUCUAAUGUCGGCAAAGAAGAGAGCAUGAUAUACUCUCUCUCCUUCGCGGGUCGUUUCCGUUUACUAUUCUAGCCAAUGGAAUCGAGGGCGUUUUAUGUAGUUUUUAUUCGACUUUUGACAUAAUUUAAAGUCAAAAGAAUCGUUCAACUCUAUGAGCACCAGAUCCUGGUCGCGGAAUUUAUUCCAGUGGGUGGGAGACCAAAGGAAUAUUUUGAGACAAAAACUUAAUGGCCACCACCCACCAGCGACAGGAUUCCUAUUAAGCUUAUUGAGCACAAAGGAAACACAAACAAAAUCUAAAAGCAAACCUUUUAAAGUUUGGCAAUGAAAACAUAC